CUCCUCUGUGACAUCCUACAUAGCUUUCUGAUCUUCUUUCAAGAACAGAGCUGUUUAUUAGCAGAGAUGGGGUGUCUUUCUUGUUUCAAUUCUUCAUGUGGCUGCAUUAUUAUGUGUUCCAUAAGAACAAGUCCAGCAAUCCAAGGGGAGAGCUUUUCUGGCCUUCAAUUACUUCUCAUCACACUUGAUCCCUAUUUUCAUCUAUGAAUGCCUACAUAUCUCUUGCGUUGGAGAAGGAAAUAUUGUCUUCAGCAGAGCAAUGUCACCGGUAAUGUCCAAAAUAAAUUAUAUCACCAUAAAGCUGGACCUUAAAUGCAACAGGAUUAAAUUUAAGCAGCUUUACAGUUGUUCAGCUGCUCCAUUGCAGACCAAGAGCCAUGAAGAAAGGAAUGGAAACAAGAUGAGUAGAAACAGGCAGAGUAAAAUUUGUAGAGCCAAAACAUGUCUGCAGUUUCCCACUAGUUGUAUUUGAGUGUACUCUCCCUCGUGAUUUUCUAAGUCUGUAAAUUAAGUUUAAAUGAGACUGACCAGUAAAGCCCAACAAAGAAGAAGGUGCAGAGGAGAUGGGCAAGGAAAUAAUCCCAUGAAGCUUGGGAAAAAUGCAGGGUUUGCCUGACCAAAGCUGUUAUAUAGAAGCUGAGUGAGCCCCAAGGGGACCAGAGGGUGGCCUUUGUUUCAGCAUGCUGAAGUUUUUAGCUGCUGCGCAGAGUCCAUCUUCUGGCAGCUCUGCUUGUCUGUCCUCAUAUUUGGCAAGGACAGCAUCUUUUAAAAAAACAGCUGCAGGAAGAUCAGAGAUGCUGGUUUUGGCAAUAAGAAACUUGUGGUGGUGUAUAAAAGCUGUUAUUCUUUAUUGCAUUAUGAACAGAUACAUGAUGUUCCAAAAGCCCUUCAAUAUGUGGAAGUACUUUCUUGAAUUAUCCAGGAACUCAUCAUUGAAGAGAUAAUGCAAGGAAAUGAAGGAAUACAACUAUUGGAUUUACAAUAAACUCUGAAAUUUGAUAUAACAAUGUUUAUAAUCUACUGUUUAUAAGACUUUUGCCUUUGUGAUGGCACUUAAUGGGUGAGUUUUUAAUUUUCAUACAAUUUAUCCAAAAGCUGGGCUUCUACUGACUCUUUUUACUUUCUAUGUAACCAAACUUAAUGUUGCUCCCUUUCAAAAGUUUUUAAAAAGAGAAUAGUGAAAUAUUAUAAUGAAUCUUCAUCUUUUUACUAAAGGUAAUAAAUAUUUUAAUUAUGGACAAGGAUUUAAACAACAAUUCUGUAGUGAAGACAGGUUUGAAAUCCAUGCACAGCACUUGUGUAGGUGCUGUACAGUACAAAUGUGUCCCAGGGAUCUGUGAAGAUGUUCACAAAGUGCUACUCCAAUAACCUUAUACUUCUGGGGAUGAAGUUAGUGUCAUCUCUUAGCUUUUCUAGUACUGUGAAUAUAGUCCUGAAACUUCUGUUAUGGGGAAUUGCUAAAUUACUGCAUUAAGAAAUGUGUUCAGUAUCAUACUGAGUCUGUCUUGCAAAAUGAAAUUCUGGAUGACUUCUUCCAAGGCUGCCUGAAAAGUUUCUUGGACAACAUCCAGAUACUGCAAAAGCAUUUCCAGGAUUAUCAGAGUGAGGAAUUUCUCAAAUGUUCAGAAGGCAAAAGCCCCAGGAAUGUUUAAAUGCUCCCUGUUUGUGGCACACACACACUUCCCACACAGUGUUCUCAGUGCCACCUAAAAAUAAAACAAGGUCUGUCUUUGGGUCUCGAAGUAGGUACCAGUACAGAUUUUUUAGAUGUCUGAGAAGACAGAAACAUGUAAAUUAGCCUUUUUUUGAGGUAGAACCAUUAAGAGUUCCUUCCCACUGCAUGAAGUUACUUCACAUAUUACAGAGAUGUAGUGCUUUUGUGACUUAAAAGAUACUGAGAUGGAGAACAGCUACACAGAUUGCUGAGCAAAUUUAGGGUGAUUGCCUAAUUAUUAUUCUUUCCCUUACAGAUACAAGUUAAAAUGCAGGUGGAGCAACAGUUCAUAAAUGACUAGCAAAUACUUCAUACAUCUCUGUCCCCAUUACAUCUCUGUAUGGAUUAUAGUAAAAAUUUAUCUACUUUAAAGUAUUUUUCUGCAUAAGCUCAGAGACCUAUCUUGUAGUGUCCAAGUCCUACAUAACUUAUGAAAUUUAUGUGCUGCAAGCAGGUUUGGAUCAUCCACUCCAGAAAUUCUUAUGUGGAAAUGCUGUUUAUUUCAGCAUGCAUCCAGUAAAAAUGCCCUCUGCUGCUGCUUUCUGUACUACAUACUAGUGAUACAAACUAAAUAUUCCCUUUAGGAGGAACCAGAGCUCAGAGUCCUUUGGUUACAGCUUGGAGUGCUCUUGAAGGGUAACAGAGAUGAAUCAGAAUUCCUUUCAUUCUCAUGAAAUAAUUGAAAUAAAUACUUGUUAACCUGGUGGGUGUUUGGCAUAAGAGGGUGACAGUGUAAAUGGUAAAACCAAAAUGACUAGUUUGUAUUUUUCAAUGACUGAAUGCUUAUUUAUUUUAGUGCUGUAAGUGUUUAUGUUGUUGAUAGGCCUUGCAUUCAUGCAGGUUUUGUCAAUAGGAUUAUGUUGCAGCAAUUUAUUUUCUUUCAAUGAGUAAAUAACAAAAUAAUCUUGCUUUGCCUAGGCCUUAAUCAAAUAUAGGUCUUAUAUUUUUUUGUGGGAGGCUGCAUGGUCUCAUCUUUCAAUUGGUUAUGUGUGCACUGAUGAGCUAUUUCUGCAAGUAGCACAGUCCUUCAAAAGUCACCUGUUCUACUCAUGUUUCCCCCAUAUACAAUAGCAACAAACACUAUUUUUCCAGGGAGGUACUACCUUCAUGAUGCCAGACUAAUUAUCUUGUGGUAUAUCAGGGACUGCUCAUUCUUAAAGGUCUUAAAAAUAGGUAUUUCUCUCCUGUGGUACGUUAAAAAAGCAGAUUACUUUUCAUCUUAAGGAUAGGCAAUGCUAUUUAUUUGAAAUAAAUAACACCUAAUUAUUUCUUUGCAAUGUGUAUACUUUACAAAAAUCUUUACAAUUAACAGGAAACUAACAUAAUUUCAUUAUUUCAGUGGAAGUGCAUCAGUUCACAAACAAGAUCUUUUCCUUAUACUGCAUAUUACAACACUAAAGUGCUUGUAUUCUCAACAUGGUAUAUAUGUGAUAGGGGAAGUAAAAUGUAAAUAACAGCGUAGUGAUUUCUGAAAGGGUUUUUCAUUUGGUGGGGUUUUUUGUUGUUUUUUUUUUUUUAGAAAUACUAGAAACAAAAUGAAAAAUCAUUAACAGAUUGAGAAUAUGUUUGGUCUUUGAAAAUUAAUGCUGAAGACUGUUUCAGUAAUCAGUGUAAAACAAAAAAUACAAAAAAUAGUGUCUGAGUUUUAGUUUAAAAAAAAAUGUUUUCUUAAAUUUCUUUGUGUAACUUCCUCUGUAACUGAGCCACUGCUGGACCAAACUUCUGCAGAGGGUGGAAAAAAGAGGUGAUAAUGUGUGUCAUACUAUUUAAAAUAAAGGGAUUGAGUGGGUGUCCUUCAAUAUGCUGAGGAGGAUGUCUGGCAAAGAUAUGGAGAUGUCAAAAGGUUCUGUGAUGCUACAGCUAGAGUUGCAUUUCAGAAUAGACUUUCUGUGAAAUACAAAUCUGGUUCUUGAAAAGCCUUUAUUGUAAAUUUUCAUACAGAAUUAUGGCAUUGGAUAAAAUUAGCAGAACAGCAAUGUACAUACUUUACAGAGACAUUGUAUGAAAUUCUUGUUGUGUCUCCAGAUCACUACUGCUCUUUUUUUCCAAGCUGCUCACAAAAUCUUUAUCCAUCCUCAUCAGUAGGUCUGAAAGCUUUUAUCAAAUAUUAAAAAUUUAUAAUAAUAUAUAUAUAUGAAAAACUGUACUUUGGAGCUUUCAAAAUUACUCACAGAACCGACGUGCAAAGAGCAGUAAUGCCAUAACAGCAUGUUUCCUUUAAAGACACCAGAACAGUCUCAGUAAGACCACUGAACUUUUUGAUUUCCUCUCUCAUUGUCUUCUGUCAGAUCAGCAUGCUUCUGGGCCAGGUUCCUCAGCAGCUGAUAAGAAUAUCUUGAUCAGGAUAUAAGGAUGAAAAGGCUGAGUAAGGAGAAAUAAAACUCCAUUAAUUCCCUAUUUUCUAACAUGUUAUGAUAAGAAUGGAUAUGUUUUCACUUAAUUUCUUUGUUUUUGCAAGACUGAUUAAAUUGUAUCAACUACGAAUUUCCUAAUAAUUUGCAAGUUAAUAGAAUUCUUUCAUAUAGAAACCUCUCUUAUGAUUUUUAAUACUAGCCUUGCCAUAAGGAAAGAUCACUGACCUAGUGCUUUGAUCAAAGUAAAAGUAGAAGUAGAGCUUCAGAAAGACUUCAUUUUGCAAUUCCCUCAGAGUAGUAAAGAUCAAAAUCAGCUUUAUUUGCCUUCUCCUCCUGCAGCUGAGAUCCUGGGAGCAACAUGGAAGUUUUUAUUAGACAUUUUAAAGGUGAGUGAAAUCACAGUUUGAGCAAGCAGCAGGGCAGCUGCAGAAAGAGCUGGCAUCCUAUGGAGGGAUAUUAUUGAGCAACCCUCUGUUCUGAAAGGCAGCAAGAGAAAACUGAGGCUAGACCAAAGAAUAUAUAGAUUUUUGGAGGGUGAAGACAUAGAGAAGUUACAGUACACAAGACAGACAAAUAGCCAGUUGCAAAAAAAAGUUUAUAUUUGCAACCUACACCUUUUGUCCAUUAUUUGUUCUCCUAUGAAUUAAAGAUUAUAUUCUAAGUGUAGCUGACAGCUGUUGUGAGAUGUUAUUAUCUGAAGUACAUAAACUGACAAAAUCCAACAUUCAUUUGCCCUUAAUAAUCACACAUUAAAUGCAUGGAAAGUUCAUUAAAUUAAUCUGUUUCCUAUCAAACCUACAGUGGAAAAUCCCUGAGUGAGAUGAACUAAAUAAAUAUGUUUGUGUAAGUCAAACCAAGGUUUUCUGUGAUUUUCCUAUUGUGUUUAUUCAGCAAACAAGCCCAGAAUCUUUUCUGCAUUAUCAGUGGCUGAGAUGCAUCCAGUCUGUGAAGUUCACUUUUAAAUCUUUCAUCAGUGCGCAGUGUUCCAAGUUUCUUUGACAAAUCAAAGGUGACUUUGGACAUACUUUUAUAUCUACUUUUUAUUCCUUUGUUUGUGUGACAGCUUAUUUUUAUAUUGAUGGCUGCUGAUUUACUCUUUUGGGUUUUCAGCAUUUUUUUCUUUAUUUAAUCCAUGAGGUCAUUGGAUUCCAAGUCCGUGUGAGAAAUGAAGAUCCUCAGAUAGACCCAGUGGUAAUGGACUUGGAUUAAAGGAAUUGAAUUAUAGGUUGCCUCAUUGGGUGGCAGUAAAAAAGAAUAUGAACAGAAUUACAAUAGUCAGGAAACUGGAAUAACUGCUGACUUGGGCCUCCUCAGAACUCUCCUUAGGUGUUUCCCUCUUUAGGCAAGGGAUAUCGAGUACAGCUGUGAAAAUCUAGAACACAGUCAGUACCUAAGUGGGAGAAAAAAAAUACUUAAUAUUUUAUUUCUUAAUGUCUUAUUUGAAUUUCAUUUUUUUCCAUUCAAAAUAUUCAUAUUUUGAACUUCGUUAUUAAAACUAGAGAACAUAAAUGACAAAGAAUUUUCUCCUUUCUUUUAUCAAAAAAUUCCGGGGAAUGAAGAUAUGUAUAUUUUAAUGAUCCAUGCUAACAAUAGCAUGAUUUAUUAUGUAAAUAGUAUCCUCUCCUUUCUCUCUGUAAUAAAAGUCAAAUAACUAAGCCCCAAACAACACUGGGCUCGGGUCCAUGUCAACUCUUCAUUUUCUUAAUAAAAUUUUAAUGCACUAUCAGUCUAAGAAAUAUGAAAAUCAAAACUAGAAACUUCAUUUUGACAUAUAAUCAUAUCUAUUUUCUUUUAAUGAAAUACCAAAUGGCUUUGUGAGGGUGUAACAAACUUGGAAGGCAUCAUAUUUACAUUACCCCAUAUUACAUUACCCUAUUUACAUAUUAUCCCAUUUUCAGAAGUUUGUAUUACAUCUUCACUCAGAAAACAGGCAUGAAAAGCUUCUACUGCUUAUAAAAAUUAAUGUAAAAACAAUAUAAAUUCAUUUUAUUUGCUAAUGACACAGUUAACUAUGAUUUUGGAAAAAGUCCCAGAGUUUUGACCAGAAAAGAUGUUUUGUGGUAGAAUGAAAUACAACAGAAAACUCCUUAACUCUUCACGUGAUCUGCUGCAUAGCUCACAAGUCAAUCUCAUUGCUCACAAAUAUUUUAAAUAAAUUGUGUUCACUUUCUGGAACACUAGAAAUAAGAAGUUCAAGUUCAAGCCUGGCAGAGCUCAAGUAGUGUUUGGACAACACUCCCAGGCACAUGCUGUGACUCUUGGUGUGUCUGUGCAGUUGAACUGGAUGAUUCUUGUGGGUCCCUUCCAGAAUGGAUAUUCUGUGAUACUAUUUCUGUAUUUAUGGCAGAUACAAAGAGAAUAAAAUACAUAAGGUAGAGUCUGAAGGAAUGAACAAAAAAAUAGUUGAAGCCUGUUUCUGUUUUCAGUUAACUUGUCAAAAACCCUAAGCAAAACUGUCAAAAGAUGUUGGAGGUAUUUGAUUAAAAAUCAUAAAGGUACUGAAAUGGAAAAUUAUAUCAUUCCUUUUUUAUGUAUACAACUUAUUGUUCUUUCCCAGUCAAGGAAAAGAAUGGGAAAAAGACAAGAAAAUCAUGGGGAAAGAAUUACCUGUGAUAAAGCAAACUUUCCAGGGAGAUUUUAGUCUCCUCUGAAAUUCCCUGAGUGAUUUGACUGUGGGAUCCAAGCUGGGUCAAACUCUUUUCAUAGUUGUGGGAUUUUCUGGAUCUUUCCAAAGAUAUUUCAUACCUGUGCCAAGAAAAGGAUAAAAGAUGUUGUUAUUAAAGCAUCUUUCUGUGUUUAUAUCACAAAUAUAGUUCUGAAUGCCUUCAUUAGCUAUUUUGCUAGUACAGUGUUCGAAUGAAUUAUGGCUGAAAGUGCUAUCUAUAAAGAAUUUCUGCUCUCAAAGCAAAGAUGACAUAACAGAAGAAGAUCCAAUUUAUUCUCAAAGGGUUGUAAGAGCUCAGAACUCCAUUUUGUAAAGAUCUGACUGUCAGAUUGUGCCUUCCUAUUAUAUUACUGCUCAUCACCUGUGUCAGUGUUGCUGCGUGAUGCCCUUCCUUUAUUCAGGGCAAACCUUUGAUACUUGGGCUGAGCAGUACAACAGGGAUGAGCUCACACCUCAGGAGGUGAAAUUCAUCUCAAACCAAAGGCAGACCUAAUCAAAGUAAUUUAGGCUCCCUUCAGAGGGUCAGUGCAGGGACAGAGGCAUCUUUUGCUGUCAUUCAUCUCAUCCUAGACUGCUGUCCUGGUGUAAGAAUGAUGAACUCAGUCUGGAAAGUUUCCUGAUGGGCUACUGUAAGUCAUUCAUGGGCCUGAGCCCUGACGCAGUUCUUCAAACUGGUCUGCAGCCUGCAGGAUGGAUAAAUUCCCCCAGAGGAACUGUCAAACAACUGGUCUAAUGUUCUGGUCUUCACCUGUCCCUUCAGUAUUAUAUUGAAGUGGACAGAGGUGGCUUAAUGCAUUAUUUCUGGCAUAUGAAGUUAUUUCCUUAUGUCUUCUACCCUGUUCUGUGUCCAAAAUGCCUUCAUUUCUGUCAUAUGGCAGAUGCAGCCAAACAUUUGAGAGGGGGUCUGCCCAAUAAACAUGUGCUAUCUCAUCAUGUAUUGAAAUUCUGUCUCUGGACUCAUCUGUUCUCCUUUGUCUUUGUCCAGUUACAAUAAGAAAAACAAUGUUUUGCCUCUCCACCUUAUGUAAGUAUUUAAUCUUUGCCUGUGGUCAUUCUUUUUUCCUAAUAUAUUAGCAGGACCAUUCUGUAAAUGUCACAGGGCAAGUUCUGACAUUUAUCUAAUUCCCUUUUAAAGAUAAGGUUCACACAAGAGGAAGAGCUGACAUAUUAGAAAAGCUAACUAGAGGAAAAACUCUUCACUCUAUAGCACAUCACUACAGUGAGAGAUUUAAA